AGUGACACGUUUUGUUGGACAAUGUUGAUUCUUCCCUUCUUGUCCGCAGUUUUCACCGGGGCUUAUCCGACCCCGCUGGCUCGCCUCGCUUGGAACCCUCGCGUCGUCUGGAAGGUGUGAUACGGAGAACGUGCACGCGCGGGAGCAUGUUUGUUGUUCCUCAGGAGAGAGAAAACUUUACACCCACAGAGUGAGAGAGACAAGUGUCUGUCUGGAAAGCAAACAGGAGUGAGUGACAACAUCCUCAUCAGCAACCAAAAGCAGCGGAGGAGCCGACAAACAAUGGCCCUGUGUCUACUCAGAACAAAAAAGAUGGACAGGCGGAAGAAAACUGGAACACAGAGCAUGAUGUGACUCCAACCUGCCCGAGGCCCUGGACUCCCCGAGGCUCAGACCGUCCACCUUGAAACACUCCUACUCCAGAAGCCAGACCGCCAUCCUCCCAUACCGCAUGUUUGCAGCCUGGAGCGUCGGCUGGAUUAACGGCCAUGAUGGGACCGGUUCUGGGAUCCCUCGCCACCUUUCAUCUCGGCCACGGUGGAUUUGUGCGAGGGUGGCUGCCGGAGCGAGCCAAAGAAAAGCCCCCCCUCCCCUAACUCGUGUUGAAAUCAAAGUUGUCACUUCUCUAAUUACCCAAAGCAAUCUUUUCCCUCUCCUGAUCUGCACCACUUAGCUGUGUCUCUCCUCUCUCUCUCUCUCUCCUCGUCAUUACUUCCUUCACGAUUUCUCUGUUCGCUCUCUCCGGCUCCAUCAUCCCAUAGCCACAGGACAAUAAUUGGAGAUACCUUCCAACUGUGCGAGAUCCAAUCAGAAGCAGCCGCAGAGCACCAGAGGCCCAAUAAGAUCCAGCAGAAUGAGGGGGAACUGUCAUCGGUGACAAGUGACUAAGCUAGCUGACUUCAAUUAACUCUUAGUGACUUUUUUUGUGGCUGUACUUUCCUGGAUAUAAUGACGAAUGUAAUAAAAACCUAAAUUGUGAUAAAUGUCAGUCAUGCGUCAUAUCACUCUAAUGACCGAUGAGUACCAGUAUUUUUUCCCCUUUUUUUGCUCAGAAGUAUCAUUGGACUUGAAAAUCUUCAUCAAUAACUAUAAGAAUUAAUGUACAACAUGCUUAAUUUAUGUCAUCAGUACUGAUCAAACAGACUACUUUGUGGUAUCAGUUCCAGCACUGAAAUGUUAAUUCUCUUCAUAAAUGUCAUUUUCUUCACCCUCUGAACCCCAAAAUUUGCUGGUUUGUUGUAAAGACAUGUUAGUUGUUGUAAUUAUUGCCAAAAUUACAUCUUUAUCAGACAGAAACUUGGAAAAAAAUGGUGGACUUUCAGCGUUCCAGUGCUUCUUGAAUGACUCAUCUGUGGCGUGCAGCUUAAAAUCAUGAUAGUUAAUCAAAAUUUCGUUACUUUAUGCGUCUUAUUUGGAGUUUUUCCCAAUACAGUGUGUACUGUUUACUUUAACCAGAUUCUAAAACACUUCUCUGUGCAACUUAGAAGCUGUACUAGGCUGAACUGCAGGCUGUGCUACCAUAUAGGAUAAUUCUUUUCCAGUAUUGGUAACAUCUGUGACAAAUGCUGUACAUGUUAAUUCUAUUUUUUGAAAUUUUAUUAAAGUAAAUAAACAAUUGUCAGAAUUUCUACUUUUGUU